GCUCAGGACGAACGCCGGCGGCGUGCUUAACACAUGCAAGUCGAACGGUGACGACGGGGCUUGCCUUGUCUGAUCAGUGGCGAACGGGUGAGUAACACGUGAGUAACCUGCCCCAGACUCUGGGAUAACCCCGGGAAACCGGAGCUAAUACCGGAUAUGACCCUCGUACGCAUGUGCUGGGGGUGGAAAGUUUUUUCGGUCUGGGAUGGGCUCGCGGCCUAUCAGCUUGUUGGUGAGGUAGUGGCUCACCAAGGCGACGACGGGUAGCCGGCCUGAGAGGGCGACCGGCCACACUGGGACUGAGACACGGCCCAGACUCCUACGGGAGGCAGCAGUGGGGAAUAUUGCACAAUGGGCGGAAGCCUGAUGCAGCGACGCCGCGUGAGGGAUGACGGCCUUCGGGUUGUAAACCUCUUUCAGCAGGGAAGAAGCGUGAGUGACGGUACCUGCAGAAGAAGCACCGGCUAACUACGUGCCAGCAGCCGCGGUAAUACGUAGGGUGCGAGCGUUGUCCGGAAUUAUUGGGCGUAAAGAGCUUGUAGGCGGUUUGUCGCGUCUGCUGUGAAAAUCCGGGGCUCAACCCCGGACUUGCAGUGGGUACGGGCAGACUAGAGUGUGGUAGGGGAGACUGGAAUUCCUGGUGUAGCGGUGGAAUGCGCAGAUAUCAGGAGGAACACCGAUGGCGAAGGCAGGUCUCUGGGCCACUACUGACGCUGAGAAGCGACAGCAUGGGGAGCGAACAGGAUUAGAUACCCUGGUAGUCCAUGCCGUAAACGUUGGGCGCUAGGUGUGGGACUCAUUCCACGAGUUCCGUGCCGCAGCUAACGCAUUAAGCGCCCCGCCUGGGGGAGUACGGCCGC
rnacentral:rRNA from 1 species